CACACAUUCACACACAGUCUUCCUUGAACACAGCUCUCAACCAUCCACAUGAAGGUAGCGUAGACCAACCAGGGUUUCUCAGGCUUUAUUAUGCAUAUGAGUGGCCCAGGAAUCUUGUUAAAAUGCAGGUUCCAGCUCCAGAGGUCUGAGCUGGAGCCUGAGACUCUGUGUUUCUCACGAGCUCCAGAUGAUGUCACGCUGCUGAUCCGUGGACCACGCUUUGAGAUGUGAAGGUGGGAAUGAGUUAAUGUCCUUUUAGGACGGCCAGGAACAAGAUGCUCUUAAAUGUAUUCCAAUAUUACCUGUCACGUGGAUUCUUAUCUCUCCCUGGCAGUCUUACGUCAUCCUGUUCAUCAGGAAACAUAAACCCCUACUUCUGUGUGUAAGAUCCUGUGCUGGAUUCUGGGGAAUCAAAGUCUCUGUUAUAAAACAGAGCCCCUGCCUUAAGGAGCUUAUAUUCAACACCUAAACAUAAAAAUGUAGGCAGCCAUCAGAAGAACCUAUUCUGGGUGCCAAAUGAGGGCCACAGACAGUGACUGAGAGCAGGACUCCAGGGUCUAUUCUAAGUUCUGUAGAGAGCUUCAGUCCAAAUGCUUUCUUUGAAAUGUUGAGGAGUAACACAUGCCCCAGAUGCAGGACCGCAUUAAUACGUCUUAACUUUUAAUGCAAGAGUCAUGUCUCUGUAUAUAAAUAUAGGUUCCCCUAGGAUAUGUGAGGCUGUAGUGCAUUGUUUUCAUAGUCGCCAGACUUCCUCAUUCCUCGUUAGCGGGGGAGCCGUGGCUGAGAUACAGAAGUCAUCUAGAACGUAAGUACAUGGGCUUGCGGCCACCCCACACCAUCGUCGCCAUUGUUUAAGGAAUGGGUUUGCCUCAUUCAGCUGCCUUUUGUGGGGUUUUCAGCUCCUACUUGAAGACUAGUAUUUGCUUAUGGAAACAGUGACACCAAAUUAGUGUAGGUGGUGCUCAGGGCCAGGAAUAAACACAAAAUAGUCCAGCAGCCGGGGUGAGUUAUUAUUAGGCCUUGGAGUUGCCCGUUGGUGCAAGGCCCCCACCUAAGCCCUCGGUUUUGCAUGGGGCAGUCUGCCAGGUGGGGUGGGGGUGGGGUGGCACGCUUGGGAGCAAAUGUCCAAGGUGUCUUCGAAUACACCAGCCCUGCUGAAACAGGACGUAGUCUGCCCGCAGGAGCAGUGGGGAAGAAAAGAGAGGGGACCUCGUGGGGUACAUUGAGGUAAGUGAUGAUUAUUAGCAUGUUUUCUUGAGUGGUAUUGCCUUAGGAAGCAAGAACUGGUUUUGGAGAUAAGGAAUUUUGAUCAGGCAGGGACACUUUGGAAUGGGAACUCUGAGAAAAUGAGGCUCUCUGGGGAUCCUUGGGAUUGAGCAGAGGUGAAGUUGGCAGGAACUGGCAUGGGAAACUGGGGGGCCCAGGACCCUUUAGACCCCACCCGUGGGGAGGGGAUGUGUAAACAAGACUGCUCAGUCAUAUCAGCUCUUUUUUAUCAGGUGCUAAUUAUAUUCUAGGCAUCAUAUCCUUUGAUUCUCCCAAUAAACCUUCUGACCUGGAGAGCGGGGUUGCUUCCUUCCAUCCUGCAGACCUGGAAACUGAGACUUGGGAAGCGCAAGAACUUGCCAAAGCCGUAAUAGAGUGAUGGAGAGAGAUGAGUCUGUUCUGACUCCAGAAGCUGCUUUCUUAAACACCACUCUGUGUCCUCAAAGAAAAAAACUGAAGCACAACGUAAGAGUUCGAAUGCAUUCUGCUAAAAGUGUUAGCUAUCACGACAGCCAUGAAACACACACAGCCAUCAGAUCAGGGCCCGGGGAGACCUGGAGUGUGGCCAGGCUCCAUCUGCCUGCUUUCACCUGGUGAAGGCAGUAAAGUCAUAGUCCUGGAGGCCAGGCUCAGGAUAUCACCUCCUCACAGGGCUCCUCCCAGGGCUCUGGGCCUGUGCUGAACCUCAUGGCAACGUUGAGGCCCAAACCCUUCCUGGACAGUUAAGGGAGACAGAGGCAGGGCAGUGUUGAGGGUGUCCUCAGAGUCACCCAGCCAGUAAGGGGCCAAGCCUUUGGCUACAGACUUCAGCUCUUGACUCCUGUGCUCUCCUGUGUGCUGGCCAGAGGCCUGGCGGCUGCAGGUGAGCAUGAGAACCACCUGAGGACCAGGACUAUGUCCAGGACAGUGUCAGAGGCUCCUUGAUUGUGGCCUUUGACAAGGCUGAGGGAGGACUGAGGCCAGAAGAACCCUCAGCCAAAUUUACGACUAUUUAACCACACGUCCAGGGCCACUGUCUCCCUUUCAGUGCCUAGGACGUUCAUCUUGACCUCUGGCCCCCCAGUGGGGUUUGCCACUGCACCGCUCACCUGUGCACAAGGCCCACAGUAUCACGGGGUGAUCCCCUUGUUCCAAACACCCGGCCUUUAGUGAGGGCAGGGGAGGCUGGCAGGGCCCUCUGACCUGGGGCCCCAGCUCGAGGGUGAAGUUGAGUGAGGAUGAGGCAGCCUCGCAAAUGCUGGUUUCUCCCUUAAAUUUUGUCCUCUAAGUCUUUCCACAGGGAUUGAAAACUCAGAGAAGACGAAAAGAAAAUAAAUUCUCAGCAGAAAGCAUAAAUGGAAAACCAGUCCUGGUUCUAAUGGCAUCAGGACCUGACAGGGAAAGAGGCUCCGAUUCCACAAUCCAGGGCAUAGUCUGGAUGAGGUGUGCAGCCUGAAGACAUACCCAUCUCCCUACUGUCCUCUGUCACCUCUGCACUUCUCCACCCCCUGGCCUGUGACAUAUGUCUGUGCAGUUUGUCCCCAGCAAGCUGCAGGAGGAGCCAUUCACAUCAAAGUCUAUGUGAGUCAGACCACAGAGACAUAAUGCUGGAGCUUCGGCAGCCAUCAGGGAUCACAAGACAAUUGAAGAGGAAAGCCAGGUGCUGAAUGAAGAUGGCAGAAGAAUUGGCCACUGAUGGGAGGCAUCAGUCCUGGACUACCUACCUUCAGAUUUUUUUGUA